rnacentral:sRNA from 1 species
UGUAAAUGUUAAAUGUUACGGUCUCGAG